AUUGAACGCUGGCGGCAGGCCUAACACAUGCAAGUCGAACGAGUGGCGGACGGGUGAGUAAUGUCUGGGAAACUGCCUGAUGGAGGGGGAUAACUACUGGAAACGGUAGCUAAUACCGCAUCCCAUCAGAUGUGCCCCGAUGGGAUUAGCUGGUUGGUGGGGUCACGGCUCACCAAGGCGACGAUACCUAUCUGGGGUGAGAGGAUGACCGGCCACACUGGAACUGAGACCCGGUCCAGACUCCUACGGGAGGCAGCAGUGGGGAAUAGUGCACAAUGGGCGGAAGCCUGAUGCAGCCAUGCCGCGUGUAUGAAGAAGGCGUUCGGGGUGUAAAGUACUUUCAGCGGGGAGGCGUUAGCCGCAGAAGAAGCACCGGCUAACUCCGUGCCAGCAGCCGCGGUAAUAC
rnacentral:rRNA from 1 species